rnacentral:rRNA from 1 species
UCUGGCACCUUCGGUGUCCGAGUUGUAAUUUGAAGAAGGUAACUUUGGAGUUGGCUCUUGUCUAUGUUCCUUGGAACAGGACGUCACAGAGGGUGAGAAUCCCGUGCGAUGAGAUGUCCAACUCUAUGUAAAGUGCUUUCGAAGAGUCGAGUUGUUUGGGAAUGCAGCUCUAAGUGGGUGGUAAAUUCCAUCUAAAGCUAAAUAUUGGCGAGAGACCGAUAGCGAACAAGUACAGUGAUGGAAAGAUGAAAAGAACUUUGAAAAGAGAGUGAAAAAGUACGUGAAAUUGUUGAAAGGGAAGGGUUUGAGAUCAGACUUGGUAUUUUGUAUGUCUUGCUUUCGGGUGGGGCCUCUGCAGUUUACUGGGCCAGCAUCGGUUUGGACGGUAGGAUAAUGACAUUGGAAUGUGGCACUACUUCGGUGGUGUGUUAUAGACUUUGUUGAUACUGCCUGUCUAGACCGAGGACUGCGUCUUUGACUAGGAUGCUGGCAUAAUGAUCCUAAACC